AAUACUUGUCCUUCAUUUUUGCAGAACUUCAUUUCAACCCAUAAAUUCUUCAAAAAACUAAAUUCCAAAUAUGCUAAUUCGGUAUGUCUGACUUAACACAUCAAAGUAUAGGUUCACAAAGAGUUUAACUUGUGCUUUCAAAUGGAUCAAAACUUAAUUAUCUACUAACUGCCUCCUUGAAUAACUCGGGUUGAGUUGUCCGUGCAUUAUCAACCACUUAACUAACUCCAAUCAUGAAUUAUCCAUGUCUUAGAAUUAAAGCCAUCUACCCAAUUUCUCUAGUAGCAAAUUCUUAAAUUCUAAUCAUUAACAAAAUGGUUCUUUUCUUCAAAUAAAAUUUUCAAAGGUCAAGUUUUCAUUUCGUCUUUGAUGUCCAGAUAUGCUCUGUAAUGAUUGUUUACAUAUUGAAGCAAAGACGAAUUGUUCUUUCCAUGGAUAUUUAAUUGAUAGCGUUCCAUAAAAUUUAUCCACCAACUUACAUGAUUACUUAAUCAAAAUUCAAUUAACUAUAAUAACUUGGAAUGGUCAUAACAGUACUUGACACAUGGCUUGCUAGCCCAGCUUUUCAUUUGGGAGCAGAGGUCAGAAGUAAUAAUUAUUUUCCCAUUCUUUACUACUUUUUUCUUUCAACAAAGAACUCAUCAAAAAAAACUUUUUUCUUUCAACAAGGACAAGUGGGGCUUACAAUCCCAUUACAUGUGUUAGGACAGCCCAGGUUAGCCAAAAAUUCAUAUUACAACCGAAUUCCAUCAAUCCCCUAGAUGAUCCUAGGAGAACCAACAGUUAAGCUUCUUGUCAACCAUUUUUUUUUUUUUUUUUUCAAUUUUCAAAUCCACAAUGCUAAAACAUAGGAUUAUCUUUAUAAUUAUCCCAGAUCCACAAUUACUGAGACACUUCAAAUGUGGUAUAACUGUAACUGUAACUUCAUAACAAGAGUAGAAAGAUACCACCCCCUGACCCCCACUAAAUGGUGACUCACCAUAGAUUCUACAUCUUAAAACCAAGCCAAUUUUGGGGCCGAUACAUGAUAAUGAAACCAACCACUAGAAUAUCAAACCAUUAACGAAGAAAUGCAUGGAAAAAAAAAAAACUACAGGCUAGUAAUUAUGAGGCCAAAUCUUGACGGAAGGUGACACCAAAGGCCUCUACCCUUCCAUCCCUUGGAUGGAUAAAGAGGGCAAAGCUUUUAGUUUUUUCAAGUUGUCAAAAAGUUGAACAAGUAGAUGGCGAGUGCCAAGUCAAUUAUAUGAAGUCCUAGGUAAAAAAUAGAAAGAAUUUAAAAAAGAAACCUAGUUGAUUAAUGGAAGGCAAUAUGUGUGAGCAAUCUCCCUUAUGUGGAUGGAGAUGGUGAAAGUGGCCUCUGUAUUUGUGUGUUUGGGCGACAGAUUGGGUUGGGGUUGCAGCAUACUGCAAUUGAAAGUUCACGGAGGCAAUGCAUCCAAUGGCUCUCUAAUAAUAUGAGUGAUGGAUAUGGGCCAUAGCAGUUCUCAAUGGCUGAAGUAUAAUCAGACAUGCACAAGGUCAUCAUAACAGAAUCACAUUAUCUAAAAGUUUAAGGUGCAAGAGAGAACAAGCAUCUAUAAAUCUAUUAUGUCUUCAACAUGUUCCACAAGGUGCACAGGCCAGAUUCAUUUUUUUAUCAAAGGCUUGAUACGCAUACCAUUUUCAUAAAUGGAUGGUGAUGAGACUCGAACUCAGAACCUUUGCUUACCAUGCUGAAUUCAUUUAAAUUACAUCUUCAACAACGAAUAUGCCUCUUUUUGCUUCAUUUUCUAUUAUAUCAUUUGCAAAUAUGACCCGUACCAAUCAUAGAAAUUAUCCCAAAAAAAUCAACUUCAUUUUACACCAUAGUUUCAGAUCCAAUAGGGGAAAGCAGAAGUGCAGGAAGGAAUCCUCAUGGAAAAAUCAAAUAUCAAAUUUACUAACCGAUGGGAGGAAUUGCAGGGGCAGAUUCAGAUUAGAAUUGGUGCUCACUAUUAUAACAACACAUGAAGGGUAAAUAGCAUGAUUCUACCAAUUUACAAAAUUUCACAUGAUUAUUAUGCUUUGGUUUAGAAGAAAAUCAAUUGGUCAAGCUUUUUAAAAGUUAAACCAACCCAAACCACUUAAACUGACCAACCCAACGCAAACCGAUCGGUUUGGGUUGGUUUUUAAGUCCAAUUGAGUUGGGUUAGGUUGAAAAAUGAAAAUUGAGGUGGGGUUGGAUUGAGUCUCAGGUUAUGAAUUAAAACCCAAUUCAACCCAACCCAAUGAAUUAGACACAAUAGUGGAGAUAAGAGAAGGAUUUAGAAUGUACAAACGUUCCAUUUUUUACAUAGGUCGAUUGGUAUGAAUAUUAUGUAGAAAUGCAAAAUAAUUUGACGAUAAACUAAAAAUUAAGGAUGUGAUAAUAAAAUGAAUAAAUCCCAAAAAAGUUACAAAAAAGAAAAU
rnacentral:lncRNA from 1 species